CCUACGGGGGGCAGCAGUGGGGAAUAUUGGACAAUGGGGGGAACCCUGAUCCAGCCAUGCCGCGUGUGUGAAGAAGGCCCUCGGGUUGUAAAGCACUUUCAGUGAGGAAGAACGCCUGGUGGUUAAUACCCAUCAGGAAGGACAUCACUCACAGAAGAAGCACCGGCUAACUCCGUGCCAGCAGCCGCGGUAAUACGGAGGGUGCGAGCGUUAAUCGGAAUUACUGGGCGUAAAGCGCGCGUAGGUGGCUUGAUAAGCCGGUUGUGAAAGCCCCGGGCUCAACCUGGGAACGGCAUCCGGAACUGUCAAGCUAGAGUGCAGGAGAGGAAGGUAGAAUUCCCGGUGUAGCGGUGAAAUGCGUAGAGAUCGGGAGGAAUACCAGUGGCGAAGGCGGCCUUCUGGACUGACACUGACACUGAGGUGCGAAAGCGUGGGUAGCAAACAGGAUUAGAUACCCCUGUAGUC
rnacentral:rRNA from 1 species